AACCCAUCCAACCCAAUUUAACCCAGAAACUGACCACAGAAACACAAAUUAUAUCAACGCUUGUUCGUUUUAUCCCUCCCAUUUUCACCUCCUUCUUCCUCCUCCUCCCUCCUCUUUAUAAUUCGACUAAUGUCCAACGCAGAUUAAAUUUCCGCGGUAAAUUUUUCCCCCCAGCAGUAAUAAUUCUCCCGCCCUCACCAUUCCAAAUCCUCUUUUGUUGAUUUCUUUUUACGUAUAAAAUCAUAUCAUAAUCACCGUUAUCUCUUUCUCUCUCUCCGUUUUCGACGAGAAGAAACCCUAGAUCGGGUGAAACCCUAGUUUCCUCCAAAUCUCAUUACCAUGCCUCCAGGCUCCAAGAAGAAGAAAUCGUCGAAGCGAAAGAAUCAUAAGAUGGCUGUUCAUGAUCAUCAGCAAGGGAAUGGGAGAGAGAAACGUCAGGUUGUGAUCGAGGAUGAAGGCGACGAGACUUUCGAGACGCCGCGAUUUCAGCCGGAGAUGUCGAGUUAUUCGAUGGAGAAGUUGAAGAUUGGGAGGAUAGAUGAGGUUGAGGAGUCGAGGAUUGAGCCGCAGACGCCGUAUUAUUCGAUGGAGAACAUGGAAAUUGGGAAGAAGGAUGAGACUGAGGGAUCGAGUGAGGUUGAUGUUAUUGCUGGGGAGAAACUACAGAGUUUGGUUGCGGAGAGCUCGAAAGAGAGUAAAUUGGUGGAAUCUGAGAACUGUGAUGCUUCUGAGGACGGUGAGAAGGCUCAGAAAGAUGUCGAGUGUUUCAAAGAGACCAAAUUUCAUGGAGUUGCUCGUGUUUCUGACAAGGAAUCAUCAGUGGAAAAGGAUAUGACAUUGAAGAAUUUGGAGAAACCCGUCUCUGUUAAAGAAAAGACUCCCAAUGUUUCAAUAGAAGCUGUUGAUGGUUCUUCCUCCAAUGAGAGGGAAUUGAAAGUGGUUCCUUGGCCGGAUGAGGACGUUGCUGCCAUUAAUGGAAAUGUGAACGGCGAUGGUGAGAUUGUUGCUUCUGAGAAAGGAGGUGAUGGUGAUGAGAACAAACAACAUACUCCUGCUGCUGAGAAUUCCAGGGAUGUUGUUGAAUCAGUACGAACUCUGCCUCAGAUUAAUGUGAACUUGAUUAACAAUAAUUUGGACAACUUUAUGGAGAAGAGCUCCCUACUUGUAGAAAAUUCUGUUCUUAUAACUGAAGAGGAAAAACGCGGUAGCAAAGUACCUGAAGAGAGGCCUGAGAAUUCAGUUGGUGUGAGCAAUCCCUCACCUCAUGGAGGGGUGAAGGAGGUUGCAAAACCCUCUUUUGACGGGGGAAAGAUUGGUAUUUCUGAGAGAAAACAGAUUGCUCGUGACCCAGCACCAGUGCGUCAUGCGUCUAUUUGGAAUUGCUGCGGUUUGUUUGAAGUUCUCACAAGCUCUGACAGAUAAAAUGAGGUUUGGCUUAUCUGUUUGUUCAUGGAUUCACUUGGACUCGUAUACAUAGGGUCAGAAUAACGACAUAUGGGACCUAUGCUGAAGAAACCUGCUGCAUAUCAUAAUAAGGCUAACAGAACUAGGUCCUUGGAGUUCCAAGAUUUUUGAAUAAUUGAUGGUCCUGAUGCUUUGAGGGCAUUGUUGUUAAGCUCACUGAUAGUCUUCAUCGCCGACUGCUCAAAUUUUCAUCACAUGAAAUCUAUUAGUUUGUUUUUCUGUCAAUAUCCUUGACACAUGCUCAUGUGAUGUUAGGUUAUGCAGUUGCGAUAAAUCAUGUGUAGACGUCAUGUUUUCUGAUAAAAGAAUUUUCCUGUUAAUUUCCUACCAAAUUUUUAGAUUAUCUAUCAUUAUAUCCUAUUUCACGUUAUAAGGAUUCAAUUUAAGCUGGAGACCUCUUUUUUUUUC